CCUUAUAGUUUGAUCCUGGCUCAAGACGAACGCUGGCGGCGCCCCCAACCAUGCAAAUCGAACGGAGUCAAGAGGAGCUUGCUUUUCCUGACUUAAUGGCCAACGGGGGAGUAACGCGUGAAGUAACCCGCCCCGGAGGGGGGGACAACUGGUUUGGAACGACUGGUAAUUCCCCAUAAACCCCCGGAUCCGCCUGGAUCUGCGGGAAAAGGAUUUAUUCGUUUCAGGAUGGACCCCCCUCCCAAUUAGUUAGUUGGUGAGGUAACGGCCCACCAAGGCGACGAUUGGUAAGCCGGACUGAGAGGUUGAACGGCCACAUUGGGACUGAGACACGGCCCAGACUCUUACGGGAGGCAGCAGUGGGGGAUAUUGCACAAUGGGGGAAACCCUGAUGCAGCGACGCCGCGUGGAGGAAGAAGGUUUUCGGAUUGUAAACUCCUGUCGUUAGGGACGAUAAUGACGGUACCUAACAAGAAAGCACCGGCUAACUACGUGCCAGCAGCCGCGGUAAAACGUAGGGUGCAAGCGUUGUCCGGAAUUACUGGGUGUAAAGGGAGCGCAGGCGGACCGGCAAGUUGGAAGUGAAAACUAUGGGCUCAACCCAUAAAUUGCUUUCAAAACUGCUGGCCUUGAGUAGUGCAGAGGUAGGUGGAAUUCCCGGUGUAGCGGUGGAAUGCGUAGAUAUCGGGAGGAACACCAGUGGCGAAGGCGACCUACUGGGCACCAACUGACGCUGAGGCUCGAAAGCAUGGGUAGCAAACAGAAUUAGAUACCCUGGUAGUCCAUGCCGUAAACGAUGA
rnacentral:rRNA from 1 species